GUCUCUGCAGGUCAGUUGGUCAGAGCGCUGCACCUGAAUCGCAGGCCCGCAGGUUCGAUUCCCGCCAGGGACG